rnacentral:lncRNA from 1 species
GCAGGGACAGUGGCAUUUCCCCUGGCCAUUGAGAAGUAGGUGCUCAAACCAAUCUCACCUCCGGUCCAAGAGUAGCGCUCUGGGACAGCUCCAAGCAUGGCGGUCGUAUCAAGGACCUGGUCAUAGUAUGAGAAAGUGUUGCUGGGAAUGUACUUGAUCCCAGCUUCUGACAUUUGCUUCCAGAUGCUAGACCUGAGGUCAGUGGCAACUUUCUCCAAAUCCUCAGCGCUGCUCUUC